rnacentral:rRNA from 1 species
ACUCAAAUGAAUAGACGGGGACCCGCACAAGCGGUGGAGCGUGUUGUUUAAUUCGAUGGUAAGCGAAGAACCUUACCCAGGUUUGACAUCCUCGGAAUUUCUUCGAAAGAAGAAAGUGCCUUUGGAACCGAGUGACAGGUGCUGCAUGGCCGUCGUCAGCUCGUGUCGUGAGAUGUUUGGUUAAGUCCAUCAACGAGCGCAACCCUUAUAGUCUGUUGUAUUUCUCAGGCUAGACUGCCCUGGCAACAGGGAGGAAGGGGGGGAUGAUGUCAGGUCAGUAUUGCCCUUACACCUGGGGCUACAAACACGCUACAAUGGCCGGUACAAAGGGCUGCCAAAGCGCAAGCUGGAGCAAAUCCCAUCAAAGCCGGUCUCAGUUCGGAUUGCAGGCUGAAACUCGCCUGCAUGAAGCUGGAAUCGCUAGUAACGGUAGGUCAGCACACUACCGUGAAUACGUUCCCGGGUCUUGUACACACCGCCCGU